rnacentral:snoRNA from 1 species
AACCCAUGGUGAGGGCAUCUUCACAAAAGGCCCUUAUAUCUUUCCCAUGCAUCGUAGAGUGUUUCUAAAUCCAUCUGUAUAAAAUAAGAGAUAUCAUUAUGCAAUU